AGCGAACGCUGGCGGCAGGCUUAACACAUGCAAGUCGAGCGGGUCCUUCGGGGUCAGCGGCGGACGGGUGAGUAACGCGUGGGAACGUGCCUUCUGGUUCGGAAUAACCCUGGGAAACUAGGGCUAAUACCGGAUACGCCCUUUUGGGGAAAGGUUUACUGCCGGAAGAUCGGCCCGCGUCUGAUUAGCUAGUUGGUGGGGUAACGGCCUACCAAGGCGACGAUCCGUAGCUGGUCUGGGAGGAUGAUCAGCCACACUGGGACUGAGACACGGCCCCGACUCCUACGGGAGGCAGCAGUGGGGAAUAUUGGACAAUGGGCGCAAGCCUGAUCCAGCCAUGCCGCGUGAGUGAUGAAGGCCUUAGGGUUGUAAAGCUCUUUUAUCCGGGACGAUAAUGACGGUACCGGAGGAAUAAGCCCCGGCUAACUUCGUGCCAGCCGCCGCAGUAA
rnacentral:rRNA from 1 species